rnacentral:rRNA from 1 species
AUUGAACGCUGGCGGCAGGCUUAACACAUGCAAGUCGAGCGGAGAUGAGGUGCUUGCACCUUAUCUUAGCGGCGGACGGGUGAGUAAUGCUUAGGAAUCUGCCUAUUAGUGGGGGACAACAUUCCGAAAGGAAUGCUAAUACCGCAUACGUCCUACGGGAGAAAGCAGGGGAUCUUCGGACCUUGCGCUAAUAGAUGAGCCUAAGUCGGAUUAGCUAGUUGGUGGGGUAAAGGCCUACCAAGGCGACGAUCUGUAGCGGGUCUGAGAGGAUGAUCCGCCACACUGGGACUGAGACACGGCCCAGACUCCUACGGGAGGCAGCAGUGGGGAAUAUUGGACAAUGGGGGGAACCCUGAUCCAGCCAUGCCGCGUGUGUGAAGAAGGCCUUAUGGUUGUAAAGCACUUUAAGCGAGGAGGAGGCUACUGAGACUAAUACCCUUGAUGAGUGGACGUUACUCGCAGAAUAAGCACCGGCUAACUCUGUGCCAGCCGCCGCAGUAACAC